CUCUACUCUUCUCUUCUGGUCCGUUUCUAUAGCCUUUUUAGAUCCCCAAUUCCUCCAAUAUCACCUAUAUAUAUACACAUAUACAUAUCUGUGUGACUGUCUCCAUUGGAUACCAGUUUGGGUGUUUUUAACCGAGCCUAAAAGAAUCAUGUUUCUAUUAGAUUGGUUCUAUGGAGUUCUUGCAUCUCUUGGAUUAUGGCA
rnacentral:misc_RNA from 1 species